CACAACCCCCAUAACUCAUUCUCCCUCCCCACAGGCCCAUCCUUUAUCCUUCCUGGCAGACGCUGUGUCACUGUUGGGCAUGGUGCCUUUUAAACACCAUGUUAUCUAACAGGUCCUCGAGAUUUGAGACUGCUAGGCCUGCAGCUGUUGGAGGGUGGAUUCUGGCGCGUGUGGGUGGUGCAUUCCCAGGCAGCAGGUGCCUGAGGCCGAGGCUCCCCUUUUCUUCCCGCUGAGACUGGUCCAAGAGCCACCUCCAGGGCCUCUGGCUUCGCUCCCCACUGCUCUCUGCAGGUGGCCCGGGAGUCAGGGUCAGCCGUCCCUGCUGCUAUUCUGGUUGCUGGUGAAAGUGAAAGUCCGGUUCCCAGGGCCACCGCAGGCUGGGAGCCACUGUGUGCUCACCCGUGCCUCAGUCCCCAAGCCUCGCCCAUGGGCAGGAAUUUUGGUGCCUUGGAAUUUCCUGUUUGACACUGCGCCUAUCCACCUCCUCCGCCCAAGCUCUCUUGCUGGGUUAUUGUGUUCCGAGGAGACCCAGCUGAGUGUGUUUUGCAGGGAUCUUUCUCAACCGCCAUUCCUGCCCUUCCCCUUCCUACUGGCUCUGAUCCCUAGGAGAAACACUCCUUGCUACCUUUAAGAAAGCAAACAUUUAUUCAUUUAUUCCCCCUUCCUCCCUCCCUCCUUCCCUCUAUGCCUCCCUCUUCCUUUCCCUCUUUCUCCCUCCUUCCCUCCCUCUUUCUUUCCUCUCCUCCCUCCAUCCUUUCCUCCUUCCCUCCUGCUUCCUUUCCUUCCUAACCUGCACACAGUAGUCCCAUCGUUUGAGCGCUUGAGAGAGGCAGUGACGACACACACUUCCUGGGGAAGGGCCCUGGAGGGGAGGGGUGGCCAUGUCCACUGUCAGCAACAAGGACAGAUGCAGGAGAAGCCUUCUACCCAGGGCCCUGAGUGACGCAGGGCUCCUUUUCUGGCUGUGCCUUUACCAAGCCUGGGCCUUGAGAGCCACAGAGCCAAAGACUGCUGCUCGGAUUGACACCAAGCAGGGCCACAUCAAGGUUUGGACCAUGAAGGCCAAGGAAGAGGAAAUGACUUCAGAGGUAAGAUCAGGGCCCUGGGCAUGGAGUAUUGCUCUAGAUGAGUAGUGGAGGUAAGAAAAGGAUCGGAGCAGGUCUACACCCUCGGGGAUUAACUCCAGAAUAGUCUGGUGGGGUAGGAAUCCGCCAGAGAGCUGAGCUCCCCUGCGAUGGCUUUCAACAGCUCCACUCACAAUAUUCUGGAAUCACAUACUGAACAGCUCCUCGAUGCUGGGCCACGGCCUCCCACUCCAGAGCCUCCAGGGGCUUUGCACUCCUACCCCAUCCCCAUCUGUCCCUGCACAGCCGCCUGGGGUUCAGAGACAGCAUCCUAGGACCAUCUCAAUUUUGUUUUUAGUGAUUUAUAACAUUUAAAGGGGAAAAGUAUGACUUUUGGGUUACAGUGGCUCUUAUGACAUGCCCCUCAAAGACUCAGGUACUGAAGGCUUGAUCCCCAAUACAGCCUGUUCAGAGCCGGGCCUGGAGAGGUGACUGGAUCAGUUAAUCCUCUGACUCCAUCCCAGCUGAAUGUGCUGUCAGGAGGCAGUACAAGGAAGAAGGAGGCCGCUGGGGGGAGUGACCCGGAAGAAUAUGUCCUAGUCCCUGUGUUUUUCCCUCUCCCUCUGCUUCUCUGCUGCCAUGAGGUGAGCAGCUUUCCCCACUACCACCACCAUGUUUUUGCCUUGAAGCCAGCUGACCAUGGAGGGAAUCCUCCGGAACCAUCAGCCAAAAUAAACUUUCUCUUCUUUAAGUUGUGCAUGUUGGUAUUUUGUUCCAGCAACAGAAGCAUGAGAACAGAUAUUUCUCGUUUAUCC
ensembl:lincRNA